GUAUUGUAUUGCGUUAAACGCGACAUACAUUCCAUGAGACUUUGUUACGGUGUGUGUGUAAAGACGUAGGACCACGGCAAGGGGACAGGGUCCCCAAGGCCAUAGAACUACAGAGGGUGCACAGGUGUGAGUGGAUGUGUAAACAGAGCGUGCACGUGCCCCCUUCCGAGGGCCAGCAACAGCUCGUGUCGACAGUUCGGUAAUGAUCCUUCCGCAGGUUCACCUACGGAAA
rnacentral:misc_RNA from 1 species